AUUGAACGCUGGCGGCAUGCUUUACACUUGCAAGUCGAACAGUAACAGGUUAAGCUGACGAGUGGCGAACGGGUGAGUAAUGCAUCGGAACGUGCCCGGUCGUGGGGGAUAACGCAGCGAAAGCUGCGCUAAUACCGCAUACGAUCUGAGGAUGAAAGCGGGGGACCGUAAGGCCUCGCGCGAUCGGAGCGGCCGAUGUCAGAUUAGGUAGUUGGUGGGGUAAAGGCUCACCAAGCCGACGAUCUGUAGCUGGUCUGAGAGGACGACCAGCCACACGGGAACGGAGGCACGGGCCAGACACCUGCGGGAGGCAGCAGUGGGGAAUUUUGGACAAUGGGCGAAAGCCUGAUCCAGCCAUGCCGCGUGCAGGAUGAAGGCCUUCGGGUUGUAAACUGCUUUUGUACGGAACGAAAAGGUUUGGCCUAAUACAGGGGGCUCAUGACGGUACCGUAAGAAUAAGCACCGGCUAACUACGUGCCAGCCGCCGCCGUAA
rnacentral:rRNA from 1 species